CAUGACUUGAAAGUUGUGGAGAAUGUCAUAACUAAGUCACUGUUGAUUAAAUCCAAUGAAGGCAGCUAUGGCUUUGGGCUGGAAGACAAAAAUAAAGUUCCAAUAAUAAAGUUAGUGGAAAAGGGGUCUAAUGCUGAGAUGGCUGGCAUGGAAGUUGGGAAGAAGAUUUUUGCUAUUAAUGGUGACCUGGUUUUUCUGAGACCUUUCCUGAAGUCGAUUGCUUCCUGAAAUCCUGCUUAAGCAGCAGAAAGCCUCUGAGAGUCCUCGUGAGCACAAAGCCAAGGGA